rnacentral:misc_RNA from 1 species
GGCGCCCAACCUCCCACCCGUGACUACCUAACACUGUUGCUUCGGCGGGGAGCCCCCUAGGGGCGAGCCGCCGGGGACCACUGAACUUCAUGCCUGAGAGUGAUGCAGUCUGAGCCUGAAUACAAAUCAGUCAAAACUUUCAACAAUGGAUCUCUUGGUUCCGGCAUCGAUGAAGAACGCAGCGAACUGCGAUAAGUAAUGUGAAUUGCAGAAUUCAGUGAAUCAUCGAGUCUUUGAACGCACAUUGCGCCCCCUGGCAUUCCGGGGGGCAUGCCUGUCCGAGCGUCAUUGCUGCCCUCAAGCCCGGCUUGUGUGUUGGGUCGUCGUCCCCCCCGGGGGACGGGCCCGAAAGGCAGCGGCGGCACCGUGUCCGGUCCUCGAGCGUAUGGGGCUUUGUCACCCGCUCGAUUAGGGCCGGCCGGGCGCCAGCCGGCGUCUCCAACCUUAUUUUUCUCAGGUUGACCUCGGAUCAGGUAGGGAUA